UCGCAUGUCAGUCCUGGGCACUUUUGGA
rnacentral:piRNA from 2 species